rnacentral:lncRNA from 10 species
CCUCCACGGCCGGGGGCGGGACUUCCGUUGGGGGCGCGGCGGCGCUGGUGCGCACGGGCUGAAGGAGCGCGGCCAGAGCGGUUACAGGAAGCCAGACAAAGAGAGAGAGAUACUUAACAGGAGCUGCGACCUAUGGCCAAGGGACACAGCCAGCCCUUGAUGACCCAGCAGAGAGAGCCAGGGAAGAGGCCAGGCGCGGUGACUCGUGCCAGUAAUCCCAGCACUUUGAGAGGCUGAGGCGGACAGAUCGCCGGAGCUCAGGAGUUCGAGACCACCCUGGGCAAGAUGGCAAAACCCCAUCUCUACUAAAAUACAAAAAAUUAGCCAAGCGUGGUGGCACGCGCCUAUAGUCGAAGCUAGUUGGGAGGCAGAGUCAGGAGAAUCACUUGAGCCCCGGAGGCGGAGGUUGCUGUGAGCCGAGAUUGUGCCACUGCACUCCAGCCUAGGUGACAGAGUGAAACUCCAUCUCAAAAAAAAAAAAAAAAGAGCCAGGAAAGAAACUGCCCCCACCCUGGCCCCCCCAAAACUGUGGACCUUCUUGGCUCCUGCCUAUGCGCAGAUGGUGGAAUCUUCCAGAGCAGCGCCAAGCCAGAAGGAAGCAGGCCGCAGAGCUCAGCCUCCUGAGGCUCCAGGGCAGGGACAAGUGGCCCUGAGUGAGAGAUGGGGAAACACCACCUGCAGGUCUCUUCUUUCCCUUUGGCUUUUUCCUCUACACUUGCCCGGCCUCCAGGUGCCUCAUGGACAGGGGUAGGGGAAGAGGACGAGCAGCUCAUACGAGGGGUCACCGAGCCUGUGAGAGAACUCAUGCCCAGCAGGGGGGUGGCCCAAGAAGCUGUUUCUGUGGGAGGAAGCACCCUAGUCCAUCCCCGUGAAAGCCAGGGCCCCCAGAAGUGGGGAGAAAUUGCCUGAGACGGAGAGAAGGUGUCAAGUGUCAUGCUGGAAGGUUUUGAAAAGGCUUCACUCUUGGGCCCAGACUGGCAGGGCGGCCUCUGUUGGCACAGGGAGGGCCAUGGAGAAGCGUGCACCUGCUCUUCCGUGCCUGCCAGGCAGCGGCUCAGCGGCCCUACCCACAGCUCAUAGGCUACAGUUGCUUAAGGAGGCACUCCUGAGUUGAACAAGUGGGAUGGAUGAUAAUUCUUCCACGGGACUCGGGGUGUGGGGGCGUCCCCCCACAUUCCAACACAGGCUACGACACGGAUGACCCUUGAGGACACUAUGCUAAGUGAAAUAAGCUCGUCACAAAGGACAGAUACUGUCUGAUUCCACUUAUAGGAGGUUCUUAGAGUAGGUACAUUUAUAGAGACGGAUAGUAGAAGGGUGGGUGGCAGGGGCGGGGGAGAAGAGGACAGAAGUUAUUGACAGUUUCAGUUUGGGAAGAUGGAAGCAUUCUGGAGAUGGGUGGAGAUGUUUGCUCAACAGUGUGAAGGUGCUUGAUACCCCUGAGCUGUACCCUUAACAAUGGUUAAGAUACAGCCAUUAUGGAAAAGAGUAUGGAGGUUCCACAACAAAUCAAAACUAGAACUACCGUGUGAUCCAGCAAUCUCAUUGCUGAGUAUGUAUCCAAAGGAAAUGAAAUCAGUGUGUCAAAGAGACGUCUGCACUCCCAGGCUCAGCACGGCACCACUCACAAUAGCCGGGAUGUGGAACCCACCUAAGCGCUCGUCGAUGGAUUAGGUGGAUAAAGAAAACAUCGUGAAUUACUGAAUACUCUGGAGCCUUAAAAAGAAGGAAAUGUGCCAUCUGCAACAACACAGAUAAACCUGGGGGACAUUAUAACAGUGAAAUAAGCCAGGCACAGAAAGACAAAUAUUGCCCGGUCUAACUUACAUGUGGAAUCUGAAAAUGUCCAAGUCACAGAAACAGAGAGUAGGAUGCAGGUUACCAGAGGCUGUGGGUGGGUAGGAAUUGGGGAGACAUUGGUCAAAGGGCACAAAGUUUCAGCUAUGCAGGAUGAAUUAAGUUCAGAAGAUCUAUUGUACAGCAUGAUGACUAGUCAAUAAUAAUGUACCCUUGAAAAUCUCUAAGAGUAGAUUUUAAAUGUACUCAUCACAAAAAAUGGGAUGUGAAUGAUGGGACACAUUAAUUAGCUUAAUCACUCUGUAGUGUAAACAUAUAUCAAAGCAUCAGAUUGUACAAUUUUUCAUUUGUUAAUUAAAAAUAUAUAAAUAUACUAUGGGAUUUGCACUAAUUAAAAAAGUAAAAAAUAAAAAUUGUAGGCCAGGCACGGUGGCUCAUGCCUGUAAUCCCAGCUCUUUGGAAGGCUGAGGUAGGUGGCUCACUUAAGCUCAGGAGUUGGAGACCAGCCUGGGCAACACAGUGAAACCCCGUCUCUACCAAAAACACAAAAAAUUAGCUGGGCGUGGUGGUGCGUGCCUGUGGUCCCAGCUACUCAGGAGACUGAGGCAGGAGGAUCACUUGAGC